UUGAUCACACCAAGCAGUCUGUGCAGCACCGAUGUAUCUCGGAGGUCUGCCAACCGCCAUUAACUCCAGAAGAAGAAGAAGAAGAAGAUGUAUCUCGGAACAAGCCUAAUAUUCACAACUGUCAGGUGCUUCGGCGCGGCCUUUUUCCUUUAUCUCACCAGGUGUGCAGGUCAAAAUUGCACGAGGAAGAUGUGGCCUCCCUAUACUGCAGGGACAACCUUGCAGUCAUAUGCAAACAAUUUGAUGCUCUUUGUUUCAUCCUGCCCCCAGCUGAAACUGAAAAUUUAAAAAAUAAAGGCAGCAAACAAGCUAUUGCCUAUAAAAAAUAAAAGUAGAAGUUAAUUUUUUAAAUACUUAAAUUGAUGUUCUUUUGUUGAAUUGAUCAUUAUUUAUUGAAUUGUUCAUUACUUUUUACAGUUUCUUGUUUUUUAAAAAAUUGUUAGUAUGUUAUAGUUCUGUUAAAGAUUUCUUUUUAAAUAAACUUGGAUUAUUGGGUUCAAUUAAAGUCUUUUUAAUGUGCUUUUA